UACAGAGGCCUCGAGCGUUAGGCGGAAUCACUGGGCUUAAAGCGUGUGUAGGUGGGCUUGUAAGUACCUUGUGAAAUCCCACGGCUCAACCGUGGAACUGCUUGGUAUACUGCGAGUCUUGAGCCAUCUAGGGGCUACUGGAACAAGCGGUGGAGCGGUGAAAUGCGUAGAUAUCGGGAGGAACACCAGUGGCGAAGGCGACUGCCUGGCCUGUUCUUGACGCUGAGGCGCGAAAGCUGGGGGAGCAAACGGG
rnacentral:rRNA from 1 species